rnacentral:ncRNA from 1 species
GCAAAGUUAGAGAAAUCUAGCGACGCAAAGCUAUAGGGACUAAGGUUGUGAAAACUAUGUCAGCCAGUUGCCGAA